rnacentral:rRNA from 1 species
ACUCAAAGGAAUAGACGGGGACCCGCACAAGCAGCGGAGCGUGUGGUUUAAUUCGAUGCUACACGAAGAACCUUACCCAGGUUUGACAUACUAGUGGUAGUGAACUGAAAGGGGAACGACCCGCAAGGGAGCUAGUACAGGUGUUGCAUGGCUGUCGUCAGCUCGUGUCGUGAGAUGUUGGUUUAAGUACCCUAACGAGCGCAACCCUUAUUGCCAGUUACACGUAUCUGGCGAGACUGCCGGCCACAAGCCGGAGGAAGGCGAGGAUGACGUCAAGUCAGCAUGGCCUUUAUAUCUGGGGCUACACACACGCUACAAUGGGCGUAACAAUGGGAUGCCAAGCCGCGAGGCGGAGCCAAUCCCCCAAAUACGUCCUCAGUUCAGAUUGCAGGCUGCAACCCGCCUGCAUGAAGUCGGAGUUGCUAGUAAACGCGCGUCAGCUAUAGUGCGUUGAAUACGUUCCCGGGUCUUGUACACACCGCCCGU